rfam:Felis catus isolate Cinnamon breed Abyssinian chromosome E2, whole genome shotgun sequence.
GUUCUCACUUCGGCAGCACAUAUACUAAAAUAGGAAUGACACAGAGAAGAUUAGCACGGCCCCUGUGUGAGGAUAACACGCAAAUUCCUGAGCACUCCAUAUUUUU